UGCUAUACUCCUAUAAAUAUUAUUGGUUUUGUUCUGGGACAGAGUAGAGUCAUUUGGAAACAUUAUGAUACUUUCAGGUUUUACUUUUAAGCUUAUCAGUUAGAAAAAGUAAAACAUGAUAUUAGGGUUAAUUUUUCUCUACCUCUGAGGCAAGGCCCUUCAUUACCUAAGGUCCUGUGCAUUAUAAGAAAUUUUACUCAGGCUGGUGACAACACAAACUAUUCCUGGCCCUGUAUGACCUGUACAGGUUGUUUGUUCUAAUCCUAUGGAUAAGUCUUUCCCUCAUUUUAGAAUGUUGCUUCACAUUAAUGUGUUGACCAGUACUUAGCUGAAUACUUGAGUGCCUCUUGUCUUAGUCCAUUUGUGUUGCUGUAAAGAAAUGCUUCAGGCUAGGUAAUUUACUAAGAGCAAGGUUUAUUUGGUUUACAAUUCUGCAGGCAGUACAAGAAUCAUGGCACUAGCAUUGGCUUCUGGGAAACGCUUCAGGCUGCUUUAGUUCAUUGAAUAAGGUGAAGAGGGAAGCCAGCUUGUGCAGAGAUCACAGAGUGAGAGAGGAAGCAAGAGACAGGAAAAGUACUAGGCUCUUUCUAACAGUUCUCGUGGGAACUAAUAUAGAAUGAGAACUCAUUCAUUACCAUGAGAACAGCACCAAGCCAUGCAUGAAGGAUCCACCCUCAUAACCCAAUACCUCCCACUAGGUACCACCUCCAACAUUAGGAAUCAAAUUUCAACAUGAGGUUUAGACAGAUCAGAUAUCCAAACCAUAGCUGCUUCAUUAGCAGAUCCUCAGAGUUCUCUCUUGUGUAGCUCUCACCUCUCAGAAACUCUGUCCUGCAAUUUUUAGUCAUCUAGUUUCCCUGGACUUCCAGCCCUAUCUCCUCAACUCGAGAAGUCUAUUAAGCUCUUUCUGGGUUCUCACAGUUUGUGUCAUAGCUUGGAAACUCUCCCAGCAACGUGCAGGAACAAUCAAGGGCUUAUGUAAUUUGAUUCCCAUAUGUCAGAGAUUGUUCUUCCUUCUAGGUUGAUCCCCAGCUUCUUGGGAACUGUUGUUUCAUAAAUUAUGUCUAUAGCUGUUUCUGAUAGAAGAGUAAAUCUAAUUAUAAUUACUCCAUCUUGGUUAAAAGGGGAAGUACCCAGAUCACAGUAUUUUUCAUAAGAUUUAUGGAUCCAAGCCACUUGUAUCAAGAAUAUCAACAGAGUAUUUGUUUGAUUUGCUGGUAAGUUUCUAUGUUUAACAUCAAUUUGUUAAAAUAUCUUUUGUGAAUCUACUAGUCACUACAACUGAUGUUUUCACAGUUUAACUUUUUUCUUUCUCCUUCCUUCCUUCCUCCCUCCCUCCCUCCCAUCCUUUUCUUUCUUUCCUGCCCUCUCCUUCCUUCUUUCCUUCCUUCCUUUCUUUCUUUCUCUUUUCUUUCUUUCUCUUUCUUUCUUUCUCUUUCUUUCUUGCUUUCUUUCUCUUUCUUUCUUGCUUUCUUUCUUUCUCUCUCUUUCUCAUUUCUUCCUUUUUCCUUCCUUCCUUCUUUCUUUCCUUUCUUCUUCCCUUUCAUAAAGCUUAAACAAAUACCUUUCGUAUUCUAGGAAAGUAAAGACAUUGGCCAGGCAGGUGUACAAUUUAGAGAUGAUAGGGAGAUAUGAUGUGAGGAAUUUAGAUUGUUAGCAGCCUAGGGAAACAGAAAAGACGCACUCCUUGUGGCACAGUUUGAGUCACAGACUUAAAAUCAGUAGAUUCACAGAACUUGGAACUUGACUUACAAUUUUAAAAAAUCCAUAGUACAAUGAAGAACCUUUAAGGGGAUGUAUCAUCAUAGUUGUCUCAUUUUUGGAGUCCCGACUUCCUAUAGAGUGCAGAUGGAAUUCAAAAAGAGAAGUUUACUAAAUUGAUUUUGAUCUAUGUUGGGAAAUCUUUUCAAAUUUAAAAUCUCUUCAGAGUUGUGACUUUCCUACUCUUUAUUAAAAUAGUACCUUGAAAGAUAGCAAAGGAAUGAACAACUCACCCUUGGCUCUUUUUUCUUGGGAAGGCUGGAAGAAGUUCCUAGUCCUUCUCCCUGCCUUUUGUAUCACACCAUCUCAAAGUACUUCUUUCUCUAACAUUGUGCCCACUACCUACCAAUAUUGCACACCAGGCAGUUGUCAGGCCGUGCAUUCAAACGCAGUGGGAGGAAAUACCUGGAAAUGAUGUGUAGUGAGGCCCAGUGUCUC
rnacentral:lncRNA from 1 species